GGGUGAGUAACACGUAUCCAACCUGCCGUCUACUCUUGGACAGCCUUCUGAAAGGAAGAUUAAUACAAGAUGGCAUCAUGAGUCCGCAUGUUCACAUGAUUGAAGGUAUUCCGGUAGACGAUGGGGAUGCGUUCCAUUAGAUAGUAGGCGGAGUAACGGCCCACCUAGUCUUCGAUGGAUAGGGGUUCUGAGAGGAAGGUCCCCCACAUUGGAACUGAGACACGGUCCAAACUCCUACGGGAGGCAGCAGUGAGGAAUAUUGGUCAAUGGGCGAGAGCCUGAACCAGCCAAGUAGCGUGAAGGAUGACUGCCCUAUGGGUUGUAAACUUCUUUUAUAAAGGAAUAAAGUCGGGUAUGCAUACCCGUUUGCAUGUACUUUAUGAAUAAGGAUCGGCUAACUCCGUGCCAGCAGCCGCGGUAAUACGGAGGAUCCGAGCGUUAUCCGGAUUUAUUGGGUUUAAAGGGAGCGUAGAUGGAUGUUUAAGUCAGUUGUGAAAGUUUGCGGCUCAACCGUAAAAUUGCAGUUGAUACUGGAUAUCUUGAGUGCAGUUGAGGCAGGCGGAAUUCGUGGUGUAGCGGUGAAAUGCUUAGAUAUCACGAAGAACUCCGAUUGCGAAGGCAGCCUGCUAAGCUGCAACUGACAUUGAGGCUCGAAAGUGUGGGUAUCAAACAGGAUUAGAUACCCUGGUAGUCCACACGGUAAACGAUGAAUACUCGCUGUUUGCGAUAUACAGCAAGCGGCCAAG
rnacentral:rRNA from 1 species